GGAUGUGCCGGCCUCGUGGCUUGUCCGAUUUGCACGGUGACUUGAUUACACGCUCUCAUUCAUGGUCACUUCCGAAGCGCUUUAGUGCCUUCCGUCCCCAAACCGCCAACAGGCAGAGCAGCUUUCCUCCGCGGUUUGUCAAUAAUCCGCGCGGUCUGGAAGGGCCUUCGCCUUACCCGGGUUCCAC
ensembl:misc_RNA Gm56037 predicted gene, 27492